rnacentral:lncRNA from 1 species
UUCAUAUCUAUGUGUAAGAUGAAAGGGACCAUGCACUCACUUGAUUAGGUGGUGACUCGGUACUUGAGCAACACUUCGUUAUCUCAAAACAAUUUUUUUCCUUGACCAAAACCUAGUAUUAAUACCACUAGAGUUUAGUUUUAACGUUAAUCGCGACUAAUUAAUAGUCUAGCUAUUAUUACUAUUAUAUAAGCGUUAAAUAACACUCAAUAUAACUCAUAAUAAUAGCCCAAAUAAUUAUUUUAAGGUCGUAAUUGUGUUACUAUAAUUAAAUAAAAGCUAUAUUAAAUAUAGUAUAGGCAUAACUCACUUACAGCGGGUUUUUAUUAAAAACUUGGCUUCCCUGGAGCAGCGUUCCCGAGCCGAAAGAUUUUCUUCUCGGAGCCGUCGAGCGCUCUAGGGCUUUCUUCUCGUGAUAGGGAGGUUCCCUAGACUUGGGAGGGGCUUAGGGAGGUUAGAGAGAGAAAGAAAGGUUUAAAGGUGUGAGGAAAUUAUGAAGACUUCAUCUCUUAUUUAUAGGAAUUGUAUAGUAACGUAGUCUCGAAGCUUCGUCCGUAACUUUUGCAUACGAGCUCCAUUUUUGUCUGUCUUUUUACCAUUGAGUUCCUAUUAAUGAGGUCUUCAACUCUCAUUUAGACCUCGUUGGCUAAUUCUCAUUCUAUCUCGGAUUUACAAAACUGUAUCGAAUUUGCCGCGCUCGAAAAGUAGAGACUAAGCUUCGUCCAUAACUUUCGCAUAAGAGCUCUGUUUUUGUCUGUCUUUUUACCAUUGAGUUCCUAUUAAUGAGGUCUUCAACUCUCAUUUAGACCUCGUUGGCUAAUUCUCAUUCUAUCUCGGAUUUACAAAACUGUAUCGAAUUCGCCGCGCUCGAAAAGUAGGGACUAAGCUUCAUCCAUAACUUUCGCAUACGAGCUCUAUUAUAAAUGUUCUUUAUAUCCACGCGUUGGUAUUUACGAGUACUACAUCUUUCAUUUAGAUCCCGUCGGCUAGUUCUCACUCUAUCUCAGAUUUACAAAACUGUAUCGAAUUCGGAACGCUCGAAUAGUAGGGACUAAGCUUCGUCCAUAUCUUUAGCAUACGAGCUCUGUUUUCGACUGUCUUUUUAUCGUUUAAAUCCUAUUAACGAUAUCUUCAUUUAUCGUUUAGAUUAUUUUAGCUAAAAAUCG